rnacentral:rRNA from 1 species
AACGAACGCUGGCGGCAGGCCUAACACAUGCAAGUCGAGCGAGAUCUUCGGGUCUAGCGGCGGACGGGUGAGUAACGCGUGGGAAUAUGCCUCUUGGUACGGAAUAGCCUCGGUAAACUUGGAGUAAUACCGUAUGUGCCCUUUGGGGGAAAGAUUUAUCGCCAAGAGAUUAGCCCGCGUUGGUUUAGGUGGUUGGUGGGGUAAUGGCCUACCAAGCCGACGUUCCAUAGCUGGUUUGAGAGGAUGAUCAGCCACACUGGGACUGAGACCCGGCCCAGACUCCGACGGGAGGCAGCAGUGGGGAAUCUUAGACAAUGGAGGCAACCCUGAUCUAGCCAUGCCGCGUGAGUGAUGAAGGCCUUAGGGUUGUAAAGCUCUUUCAGCUGGGAAGAUAAUGACGGUACCAGCAGAAGAAGCCCCGGCUAACUCCGUG